AUUGAACGCUGGCGGCAGGCCUAACACAUGCAAGUCGAGCGAGCGGCGGACGGGUGAGUAAUGUCUGGGAAACUGCCUGAUGGAGGGGGAUAACUACUGGAAACGGUAGCUAAUACCGCAUACCAUCAGAUGUGCCCAGAGGGGAUUAGCUAGUAGGUGGGGGAACGGCUCACCUAGGCGACGAUCCCUAGCUGGUCUGAGAGGAGGACCAGCAACAUGGGAACUGGGGAACGGUCCAGACUCCUACGUGAGGCAGCAGGGGGGAAUAUUGCACAAUGGGCGAAAGCCUGAUACAGCCAUGCCGCGUGUGUGAAGAAGGCCUUCGGGUUGUAAAGCACUUUCAGCGGGGAGGCGUUACCCGCAGAAGAAGCACCGGCUAACUCCGUGCCAGCAGCCGCGGUAAUAC
rnacentral:rRNA from 1 species